rnacentral:rRNA from 1 species
UACGUAGGGUGCAAGCGUUGUCCGGAAUUAUUGGGCGUAAAGAGCUCGUAGGCGGUCUGUCGCGUCGGCUGUGAAAUCCCGAGGCUCAACCUCGGGUCUGCAGUCGAUACGGGCAAACUUGAGUGUUGCAGGGGAGACUGGAAUUCCUGGUGUAGCGGUGAAAUGCGCAGAUAUCAGGAGGAACACCGGUGGCGAAGGCGGUUCUCUGGGCCGAUACUGACGCUGAGGAGCGAAAGCGUGGGGAGCGAACAGG